GCUAGCAGGAGAACAACAGGUCCUAGGUUACUGGAGCCAGAGUAGUCCCAACCCCACGCCAGCUAGCAGGAGAACAACAAGUCCUAGGUUACUGGAGCCAGAGUAGUCCCAACCCCACGGCAGCUAGCAGGAGAACAACAGGUCCUAGGUUACUGGAGCCAGAGUAGUCCCAACCCCACGGCAGCUAGCAGGAGAACAAGUCCUAGGUUACUGGAGCCAGAGUAGUCCCAACCCCACGCCAGCUAGCAGGAGAACAACAAGUCCUAGGUUACUGGAGCCAGAGUAGUCCCAACCCCACGGCAGCUAGCAGGAGAACAACAGGUCCUAGGUUACUGGAGCCAGAGUAGUCCCAACCCCACGGCAGCUAGCAG